rnacentral:rRNA from 1 species
AGCGAACGCUGGCGGCAGGCCUAACACAUGCAAGUCGAACGAACUCUUCGGAGUUAGUGGCGGACGGGUGAGUAACACGUGGGAACGUGCCUUUAGGUUCGGAAUAACUCAGGGAAACUUGUGCUAAUACCGAAUGUGCCCUUCGGGGGAAAGAUUUAUCGCCUUUAGAGCGGCCCGCGUCUGAUUAGCUAGUUGGUGAGGUAAAGGCUCACCAAGGCGACGAUCAGUAGCUGGUCUGAGAGGAUGAUCAGCCACAUUGGGACUGAGACACGGCACAAACUCCUACGGGAGGCAGCAGUGGGGAAUCUUGCGAAAUGGGCGAAAGCUUGACGCAGCCAUGCCGCGUGAAUGAUGAAGGUCUUAGGAUUGUAAAAUUCUUUCACCGGGGACGAUAAUGACGGUACCCGGAGAAGAAGCCCCGGCUAACUUCGUGCCAGCCGCCGCCGUAA